UAACUGUACAAGCAAUUGUCCUCCUCCAACAAAAAGACUGACGCAUUGCAUCAGUUGGAGGUAAAUUUAUCAAAGGAGGCACAUACAAUAGACACAGCAGCACAAAUUAUGAAACAGGUCUGUAAGGGGCCUCCUGGUGAGCCAUAUUGUACUGAUUGUUGAUGGUCCAGUUUGGACUGAAUGACAUGUAGUGACAUUCAGAUGGAAAAUGACAGAAAUAGUGCUAUACAUGUACAGCAUGAGUCAGUAAAUGUGCAGUACGGUGAGCGGUGUGAAACGAUGUGCAUUCGUGUACACGAAGCCAUGCUGAGUGACACAGACAACCCAUAGACCUCUUAUAGUUACACAUUGGCUAAAAACAAUUGGGAUCUCCAUGAACUGAAGUGACAUGAGUAUUUGUUCCAGCCUUUCCAUUAGGAGCCCUUCUGUAGAGGUGAAAGAAAAAAGAACAAAAAAAAACCAGCACUGAGUGAGGGAGGGUAAGAGGGAUAGUAGGAUAAGGCGUGCGUACAACAAUGUCUGGCAGAGUAAAAGGGAUCAAACUGCAAUAGCACGAGCUGCACUGAAUUUGAGGGUGGGUUUAUCUACUUACACAGCCAUUUUACUCAAGCCACAUAGCAAUGUUAAAUAUCACAAAACAGGCAGAACAUGAAUCAUGGCACAAAAAUGUAAAUGCACAAUUGAUCAGUCCUGAGAUAUGUUUUUCCAGUGCUAGCUGUGAAAUAAUUAUGUGCUUUUAUAAAACAGGAUUACCAAUUUUAGAGCCGCAACAAUCGGUCAAUCCCUUCGCAAGUCCAUUAGCUGAAAAUUCAGCAAUUAUUCUGAUGAAUCUUUUUAGUAAAAAUCACCAACAGUUCUCUCCAUUAGGAAGAUUUGCUGCUUUUCCCUAUUCCAUGACAUUAUUUUUAUACACUGUUUUAGACCAGACAAAAAUAAAUAAAUAAAAGCAGUUAAAAAAUAAAACACAGAUAACAAAACAAUCUACUGUGAGGCACGUUUACUAGACUAGUUACUUAAUUUCAGAUAAAAAAUAAAAAUAAAAAUAAAGCUCCUGUACAGUACUGUGGAGACCAGUUUUAAUUUGCCUGUCGUUCACUUGAAUAUGAGCCUGGCUGCCAUUUAGCCCCUGCACUGCAGUCUCACAUGAAAUGGACCGAUGGCACAUCAGACUGUCCUCACCAUAUUUACAUCCCAUCUCCGUUAUUGGAUGCAUAAUUCCUCCACACAUCUCUUCAAUCUUGUAUCACAGACACACACACACACACAACUGACGACAAUUAUAAUUUCAUAUGCCCCAGUGUAUCGCCCACCCAAGCAAUUUUCUGCCAUUUAAAUGUGAAUUUAUGUCUCAUGUAAAUGCGCAGGGAUUCGAUUUAGGCCCAUUGGAGGACUGGCCUUUUCCCCAAAGAGCUUACUGUUAUAGACUUCUGGUCAUUUCAAGGUCUCUGUUCAUCACCUCGAUUUCACAGAUUGCAUCGGCACUGAAUGACAUCACACCACCUUAUCAACUUCUCUCCUUACCCAUAAUACGGUUUCACCAAAAAUCUGAAUAUUAAGUCAAACCAUCUCUUACCUUGAUCAAUGCAUCACCCUUC
ensembl:lncRNA